rnacentral:rRNA from 1 species
CCUACGGGUGGCAGCAGUGGGGAAUAUUGCGCAAUGGGCGAGAGCCUGACGCAGCGACGCCGCGUGAGGGAUGACGGUCUUCGGAUCGUAAACCUCUGUCAGCAGGGAAGUACGGUCACUGUGCUAAUCAUCAGUGAAUUGACGGUACCUGCAAAGGAAGCCCCGGCUAACUCCGUGCCAGCAGCCGCGGUAAUACGGAGGGUGCGAGCGUUGAUCGGAAUUACUGGGCGUAAAGCGCUCGUAGGCGGUAUGUCAAGUCAAGGGUGAAAUCCCCGGGCUCAACGUGGGAACUGCCUUUGAUACUGGCAAACUGGAGUGUGUGAGAGGAUAGUGGAAUUCGAGGUGUAGGAGUGAAAUGCGUAGAUAUCUGGAGGAACAUCAGUGGCGAAGGCGACUAUCUGGCACAUAACUGACGCUGAGGAGCGAAAGCGUGGGUAGCAAACAGGAUUAGAUACCCCAGUAGUC